UGCAGAACAUAGUGAGUAAAAAAUAUUACUGAAUGUACACUUUAUUAUUUAGUUUUAUUUAUUUAUGUAUUAUUAUUAUUUGUGUGUGUGUGUAUGUGUGUGUGUGUGUGGCACUGGAGAUUAAACUCAAGGGCACUCGACCACCGAGCUGCAU
rnacentral:sRNA from 1 species